rnacentral:tRNA from 1 species
GGGUCGGCAGCUCAGCCGGUAGGGCAGUGGACUUUUAAAUCCAUUGGUCGUGAGUUCGAAUCUCGCCCGACCCACCA